rnacentral:tRNA from 1 species
GUCCCCGUAGCCCAACGGCAGAGGCGAGCGACUUAAAAUCGUGCAAGUGCGGGUUCGAAUCCCGUCGGGGGCA